rnacentral:rRNA from 1 species
GACGAACGCUGGCGGCGCGCUUAACACAUGCAAGUCGAACGGAAAGGCCUGCUUUCCCUUGUGGAUUGCGGGUACUCGAGUGGCGAACGGGUGAGUAACACGUGAGUGAUCUGCCCCCAACUUGGGUAUAAGCCUGGGAAACUGGGUCUAAUUCCCGAUAGGACUGCAGGGUGGUGCCUGUGGUGGAAAACGAUUUUCUAGUGGUUGGGGAUGAGCUCGCGGCCUAUCAGCUUGUUGGUGGGGUAAUGGCCUACCAAGGCGGCGACGGGUAGCCGGCCUGAGAGGGUGGACGGCCACAUUGGGACUGAGAUACGGCCCAGACUCCUACGGGAGGCAGCAGUGGGGAAUAUUGCACAAUGGGCGGAAGCCUGAUGCAGCGACGCCGCGUGGGGGAUGACGGCCUUCGGGUUGUAAACUCCUUUCGACCGCGAGGAAGCCACCUGGUUGGAAGGGUGAUGACGGUAGUGGUAGAAGAAGCACCGGCUAACUACGUG